GAUGAACGCUGGCGGCGUGCCUAAUACAUGCAAGUCGAGCGAACAGAUGAGGAGCUUGCUCCUCUGACGUUAGCGGCGGACGGGUGAGUAACACGUGGAUAACCUACCUAUAAGACUGGGAUAACUUCGGGAAACCGGAGCUAAUACCGGAUAAUAUAUUGAACCGCAUGGUUCAAUAGUGAAAGACGGUUUUGCUGUCACUUAUAGAUGGAUCCGCGCCGCAUUAGCUAGUUGGUAAGGUAACGGCUUACCAAGGCAACGAUGCGUAGCCGACCUGAGAGGGGGAUCGGCGACACUGGAACGGAGACAGGGUCAAGACUCCUAAGGGAGGGAGCAGUAGGGAAUGUGCCGCAAUGGGCGAAAGCCUGACGGAGUAACGCCGCGUGAGUGAUGAAGGUCUUCGGAGCGUAAAACUCUGUUAUGAGGGAAGAACAAAUGUGUAAGGAACUAUGCACGUCGUGACGGUACUGAAUCAGAAAGCCACGGCUAACUACGUG
rnacentral:rRNA from 1 species